rnacentral:rRNA from 1 species
UUUGAAGCGUAAACAUUGAAUGCGUGCUCCAAGUGGGCCAUUUUUGGUAAGCAGAACUGGCGCUGUGGGAUGAACCAAACGUCGAGAUAAAGUGCCAAACUUUUCGCUCAUGAGAUCCCAUGAAAGGCGUUGGUUGAUAUAGACAGCAGGACGGUGGCCAUGGAAGUCGGAAGCCGCUAAGGAGUGUGUAACAACUCACCUGCCGAAUCAACUAGCCCUGAAAAUGGAUGGCGCUUGAGCGAGAGACUUAUACUCGACCGUUGCUCGGCUUGUGUACAAAACAAAAUCAUAUCUACGGAGAAAAAAAAAAAAAAAAAAGGAAAUGUUACCUGGCCGCAACGAGUAAGAGGGUCGCAGUGGUUAGCGCUGAAAACUUUGGGCGUAGGCCCAGUUGGAGCUUCCACUGGUGCAGAUCUUGGUGGUAGUAGCAAAUAUUCAAGUGAGAUCCUUGAAGACUGAAGUGGAGAAGGGUUCCUCGUGAACAGCAGUUGGAUGCGGGUCAGUCGAUCCUAAGAUAUUGGCUAAUGCCUUGUUUUUCUAAAUGAGAGACGGAGAUCAAAUCCAUCUCGGCAAUCGAAAGGGAAACGGGUUUAUAUUCCCGUACCUGGACACGGAGAUUAAAUACUCAUAGCGGGUAUUUAGCGCGGUAACGCAAACGAACUCGGAGACAUUGAGCAGAGCCCGAGCCAGAGUUCUCUUUUCUGGUUAAGGAACGGACUCCCUGGAAGCGGUUCAGCCGGCGAUAGGGACGUUGUUUCCGUAAAGCGCCACGGUUCCUGUGGCGUCUCGUGCACUCUGCUUGAUCCAUGAAAAUCCGAGGGAGGCAAUUUGAAUUUCGUGCCAGAUCGUACCGAUAUCCGCAGCAGGUCUCCAAGGUGAACAGCCUCUAGUCGAUAGAAUAAUGUAGGUAAGGGAAGUCGGCAAAUUAGAUCCGUAACUUCGGGAAAAGGAUUGGCUCUAAGGACUGGGUCGGUCGGGCUGCAGCGUGAAGUGAGUGCGGUUUGAUCCGUGCAGUGCUAAUGCAUAUUGGUUGCACAAAAUUUCUUGAUCUCUGGAAAGAAAUUUUUGCUCGAUACCAUCAUUUUUGAGUUUGGAAGAGAUGUGCAUAUAUUUGUGUGUGUGUAUGUGUAUGUGUAUAUAUGUUAUAUAUAUAUAUAUACAUGUAUGAUACAUGUAUGUGUAUAUGGUGAUUUAUGAUUUGUUUGUUUCUUCCAAUUUUUUGUUCACCAAAGAUUGGAGGAGCAGCGCAGAUUGGAUUACCCUCUAUACACAUAUAUCUAAAAUGUGUUGUACACAUAUGUAUAUGUACAUAUAUAUCACAUGCAUAUAUCAUGCAUUUGUGUAUGUUCAAAUUGUCCAUUCUUGAAAUGGUGUGUUUAUUGAGUCAAAAAGCUCAUUUCUUUUUCUUCGAGUGAAAAGGAAUGUGUCCAAUAGAUGUGUUUGGCUCGGCUAGUGUUUGAACUGUCUUAUGGACCACUGCAGCUGUGUAUUGGUUCACUUUAAUUUUUGUUUUGGUGCCAAUACUUCGUCCGGCGCUAAACAGUCAACUUAGAACUGGCACGGACUCGGGGAAUCCGACUGUCUAAUUAAAACAGAGGAGACAGAUGGUCCUUGCGGACGUUGACUGUCUCUGAUUUCUGCCCAGUGCUCUGAAUGUAAAAGUGAAGAAAUUCAACCAAGCGCGGGUAAACGGCGGGAGUAACUAUGACUCUCUUAAGGUAGCCAAAUGCCUCGUCGGCCAAUUACCGACGCGCAUGAAUGGAUUAUCGAGAUUCCCACUGUCCCUAUCUACUAUCUAGCGAAAUCACAGCCAAGGGAACGGGCUUGGUGAACACAGCGGGGAAAGAAGACCCUGUUGAGCUUGACUCUAGUCCGACUCUGUGAAGAGUCAUGAGAGGUGUAGCAUAAGUGGGAGGUAUUGUUUUGUUUUUGGGAAUGUGAAAUAUCAUCUCCUGGGAAUAUGAUACCGACAGUGAAAUACCACUACUUUCAUCGAUUCUUUACUUAUUCGGUAAGACGAGAAUUGAACCGAAGACGGUUCUUGUUUCUGGUAUAAAGUGCGGUUGCUUGGUGACCGUACGACUCGCGCCGAAGACAGUGUCAGGCGGGGAGUUUGACUGGGGCGGUACAUCUGUCAAAUGGUAACGCAGGUGUCCUAAGGCUAGCUCAGAGAGGACGGAAACCUCUCGUAGAGUAAAAGGGCAAAAGCUCGCUUGAUCUUGAUUUCCAGUACGAAUACAGACCGCGAAAGCGUGGCCUAUCGAUCCUUUUGAAUUUUUCUUAGAAGGUCUCUAGCAAGAGGUGUCAGAAAAGUUACCACAGGGAUAACUGGCUUGUGGCAGCCAAGCGUCCAUAGCGACGUUGCUUUUUGAUCCUUCGAUGUCGGCUCUUCCUAUCAUUGCGAAGCAGAAUUCGCCAAGCGUUGGAUUGUUCACCCACCAAUAGGG